CGUUUGUAAAAGGUAAAUACAAGAUGGAUAAUCGCCCUAUUAACUUACAUUGCAGCUUGUUUCACCGCUGUCGACUGCAGCGAUCACGCUUAAAACUGGACCAAUGUCAAAGAUUGAUUGGUACUUCUAGG